UACGAGAGGCCCAAACGUUAUUCGGAAUUACUGGGCUUAAAGAGUUCGUAGGCGGCAUGAAAAGUAGGGUGUGAAAGCCCUCGGCUCAACCGAGGAAUUGCGCUCUAAACUGUCGUGCUCGAGGAAUCUAGAGGUGAGCGGAACUGAUGGUGGAGCGGUGAAAUGCGUUGAUAUCAUCAGGAACACCGGUGGCGAAGGCGGCUAUCUGGACAGAAACUGACGCUGAGGCGCGAAAGCUAGGGGAGCAAACAGG
rnacentral:rRNA from 1 species